rnacentral:rRNA from 1 species
UACAGAGGUUCCAAGCGUUGUUCGGAUUUACUGGGCGUAAAGGGCGCGCAGGUGGCGGUGUUGGCCCGGCGUGAAAGCCCCCGGCUCAACCGGGGAGGGUCGUCGGGGACCGCACCGCUUGAGGGCGGUAGGGGCUGGUGGAAUGCCUGGUGUAGUGGUGAAAUGCGUAGAGAUCAGGCGGAACACCCGUAGCGAAGGCGGCCAGCUGGGCCGUCCCUGACACUGAGGCGCGAAGGCGUGGGGAGCGAACGGG